GGAAAUGCUCACUUUCAACCAUGAGAGGAAUAACAAGGAGAGGUCAACAGAUGAGACACCUGGCUCUGCCUUUCAACUUCCUGGGUGACCAAAAGCAUGUCACUCAGCAUCCCUGGGCUCUCUUACCCAUCUGUGCGUAAUUGCUUCUCUCCACUGCAGCUGUGACUCUGUGAACAACUCUGAAGUCAGCACCUAGUCUUACGGUGUUGCAAGCAUACAAUGGCACAAAGUUUUGGAUGAGCUUGUUAAAUGCUGAAUACAUGAAGGAGAUUAUUAUUCUAAGUGGCACACGAAGAAUUUAUUCAACAAAGCUGUAUUGAUGAUUUACUCUCUGCAUCAGCUCCUGGGACUGCAAGUAUAAAAGUGAUUCAGACCUUGCCCUUGGGAAGCCGGGGAGAGACUCAAAUAGCUAACAGCAGGGUAAAUAGUGUUCCUGGAGUUGUGCAGUGGGCAAGUUCUGAGCCCACCUUUGCUGGGGAGGCUCUGCAGCGCCAGGCACAGCGAUGGACCCAGGAUGUGAGGUGAG
rnacentral:lncRNA from 1 species